UCCCUGGUGGCUCAGAUGGUAAAGCGUCUGCCUGCAAUGCGGGAGACCCGGGUUCAAUCCCUGGGUGGGGAA
rnacentral:tRNA from 1 species